rnacentral:rRNA from 1 species
UACGUAGGGGCCGAGCGUUGUCCGGAGUUACUGGGCGUAAAGCGCGCGCAGGCGGCCAUCUAAGCCCGGCGUGAAAGCCCCCGGCUCAACCGGGGAGGGUCGUCGGGGACUGGGUGGCUUGAGGACGGCAGGGGCUGGUGGAAUCCCCGGUGUAGUGGUGAAAUGCGUAGAGAUCGGGGGGAACACCCGUGGCGAAGGCGGCCAGCUGGGCCGUUCCUGACGCUGAGGCGCGAAAGUGUGGGGAGCGAACAGG